UUAAAAAGCUCGUAGUUGGAUUCCUGACCUGGGGUAGCCGGUCCGCCUUGCAAAAGGUGCGCACUGAGCGGCCUCGGUCACCCUUGAGAAGAGCGGUCCUGGCAUUCAGUUGUCGGGGUCGGGAUUCUCGACGUUUACUGUGAAAGAAUCAGAGUGUUCAACGCAGGCUUACGCCUCGAAUACAUUAGCAUGGAAUAAUGAGAUAGGACCUUGGCGGUCUAUUUUGUUGGUUUGCACGCCGAGGUAAUGAUUAAAAGGGACGGUUGGGGUUCUUCGUAUUCAAUUGUCAGAGGUGAAAUUCUUGGAUUUAUGGAAGACGAACUGCUGCGAAAGCGUCGAACAAGGACGUUCUCAUUAAUCAAGAACGAAAGUUAGGGGAUCGAAGAUGAUUAGAUACCAUCGUA
rnacentral:rRNA from 1 species